UGGGGAAUAUUGCACAAUGGGGGAAACCCUGAUGCAGCGACGCCGCGUGAGUGAAGAAGUAAUUCGUUACGUAAAGCUCUAUCAGCAGGGAAGAGAAUGACGGUACCUGAGUAAGAAGCCCCGGCUAACUACGUGCCAGCAGCCGCGGUAAUACGUAGGGGGCAAGCGUUAUCCGGAUUUACUGGGUGUAAAGGGAGCGUAGACGGCAGAGAAAGUCUGAAGUGAAAGCCCGCGGCUCAACCGCGGAACUGCUUUGGAAACUUUUCGGCUAGAGUACCGGAGAGGUAAGCGGAAUUCCUAGUG
rnacentral:rRNA from 1 species